rnacentral:lncRNA from 1 species
AAAACUUUCUAUAUUCAUCCAGAACAGAGUCUGGGGGACUCUGAAAUGUGUUUAUGAAAAUAUCUGAGGUUAACUAAUAAAAAAAAGUUGGCGGCCGGGCGCGGUGGCUCACGUCUGUAAUCCCAGCAGUUUGGGAGGCCGAGGCGGGCGGAUCACGAGGUCAGGAGAUCGAGACCAUCCUNNNNNNNNNGAGAUCGCACCAUUGCACUCCAGCCUGGGUGACAAGAGAAACUCCGUCAAAAAAAAAAAAAGGAAAGAAAGAAAGAGAGAGAGAGAAGGAAGGAAAGAAAAGAAAGAAAGAAAGAAAGAAAGAAAGAAAGAAAGAAAGAAAGAAAGAAAGAAAGAAAGAAAAAAAAAGAAAACCA